rnacentral:rRNA from 1 species
GUAGGUGGCAAGCGUUGUCCGGAAUUAUUGGGCGUAAAGCGCGCGCAGGCGGUUCUUUAAGUCUGAUGUGAAAGCCCACGGCUCAACCGUGGAGGGUCAUUGGAAACUGGAGAACUUGAGUACAGAAGAGGAAAGCGGAAUUCCACGUGUAGCGGUGAAAUGCGUAGAGAUGUGGAGGAACACCAGUGGCGAAGGCGGCUUUCUGGUCUGUAACUGACGCUGAGGCGCGAAAGCGUGGGGGAGCAAACAGGAUUAGAUACCCUGGUAGUCCACGCCGUAAACGAUGAGUGCUAAGUGUUAGGGGGGUUUUCCGCCCCUUAGUGCUGCAGCUAACGCAUUAAGCACUCCCGCCUGGGGAGUACGGCCGCAAGGCUGA